CAGAUCAUUUCUAUUAGUUGAGUUUUCAUUUACGCUGAAUUAUUAUACCGUGCGAUUCGGUAUGAUCUGA
rnacentral:tRNA from 1 species